rnacentral:rRNA from 1 species
CAGUAGCCGCGGUAAUACGAAGGGGGCUAGCGUUGUUCGGAAUUACUGGGCGUAAAGGGCGCGUAGGCGGCCAUUCAAGUUAGAUGUGAAAGCCCUGGGCUCAACCUAGGAAUUGCAUUUGAUACUGUUUGGCUUGAGUUCAGGAGAGGUGAGUGGAAUUCCCAGUGUAGAGGUGAAAUUCGUAGAUAUUGGGAAGAACACCAGUGGCGAGGGCGGCUCACUGGACCGACACUGACGCUGAGGCGCGAAAGCGUGGGGAGCAAACAGGAUUAGAUACCCCAGUAGUCCCUGUCUCUUAUAC